rnacentral:misc_RNA from 1 species
GUAGAUGUGGGCAAAUUACCCGGGCUCAUGAUGUUUUAUCAGAUAUGCUUGAGGCUGGAUGUGAACCAAAUGCUGUAACUUUUAAUAAUCUUAUGAGAAUUCAUGUUAAAAAAUCUGGCAGGACUGAGAAAGUUUUGCAAAUCUAUAAUCAAAUGAAGAGGCUUGGAUGCACUCCUGAUACUAUUACAUAUAAUUUUAUCAUAGAGACACAC